GCUUUAUUUGGAAGGACACUGGGGGAGAGCAGAUUAAACAGACUUUUGACUGUAUUCAAUUUUCUCUAGUUUGGGGAGAUUUUGCACCUUUCUUGAAGAUUGUAUCAACUGGGAUUAGCGCAUUCCAUUUCCUGCACUCCUCAUAAGGCUGAGAACUAAAGAAAAUUAAAAUAAAGAAAACAGGCCGUGGAGAAACCUGCAAAUCAUCAAAACCUAUGCUGUCCGAGGAAGGCAAGAAGAAACACUGCCCACAAUGGCUAGACACUCUCCAACUGCAGCAUGGAAAGAUGUGACUUACGAGAGAGAUGCUACAAAAAGUGAUACCUGAAGCACUAAAUGCUAAAACAUAAAAAAUAAAGCAUGCAUAAAAUGAAAA